UACGUAGGGUGCAAGCGUUGUCCGGAAUUAUUGGGCGUAAAGAGCUUGUAGGCGGUUUGUCGCGUCUGCUGUGAAAUUUCGGGGCUCAACCCCGAACUUGCAGUGGGUACGGGCAGGCUAGAGUGUGGUAGGGGAGACUGGAAUUCCUGGUGUAGCGGUGAAAUGCGCAGAUAUCAGGAGGAACACCGGUGGCGAAGGCGGAUCUCUGGGCCAUUACUGACGCUGAGGAGCGAAAGCGUGGGGAGCGAACAGG
rnacentral:rRNA from 1 species